UACGUAGGGACCGAGCGUUGUCCGGAUUCAUUGGGCGUAAAGAGCUCGUAGGCGGCUGUUCAAGUCGAACGUGAAAACUCGGGGCUCAACUCCGAGCCUGCGUUCGAUACUGCCGUGCUUGAGGACUGGAGAGGAGACUGGAAUUUACGGUGUAGCGGUGAAAUGCGUAGAUAUCGUAAGGAAGACCAGUGGCGAAGGCGGGUCUCUGGACAGUUCCUGACGCUGAGGCACGAAGGUCAGGGGAGCAAACGGG
rnacentral:rRNA from 1 species